GGACCGGAUGUGUCCCGCUGUAAACUAAAGUCUGCAGGUCGACGGAAGGACGGAGGGUUCCGUGACCCAGAGCUGCAGGGAGCCCACAGUCGCCUGGCGAGUGGCUAACCGGUGACCCGCCCGGUUUCACGGGGAUUUGUUUGUAUACCGGCAGUAAACACAGCCAGCUUCCGGUCACUGCGCGAACGCGAAAGUUUUCCUGCCAGUAAGCUACAUGUUAGCAUGGAAGGCGCUAACCUGCUGAAGAGGCGGUUCCUGGAGGAGGGGGCGGAGCUUUGGAGUUGUAAACCAGUGCAGAAGCGACUGUGCAUGGAGGCGGCUCUGCAGCUGGCGGAGUGUCCCAUGGAGACGUCCUGCGUUGCCACGGUGACCAGUCAGCAGGAGCAGAAACGAGGUCCCUUGACGUGUGCGCAGGUUCGUGCCGUUCAUCUCAGACCUCCUACCAUCUGCUGCGCCCGAUGUCUCGGAGGAGAGCCGGGUCAUAUCAACCACAUCAUGGGUCUCUGAAGUGAGGAGGAGAACUUCCUGCAGUCUCUGGAGGACUCGUCUGAACCUUCAACCAUCAAACUACUCUUAAACUCCACCUGAGGGUUUUUCUUCAGCAGCUGCUGCCAGAGCUUCAGGCCAUCAUCGUCUUCCUCCAUCGACUCGCAGUAACUCCAGCGGGUCGGGACGUCCACCCCACUUGUGUUUACUUUUGAUUUUGUUCUGCAACACUCUGAUGUUUGAGGCUAUUAGAGGUUUUUUGCUUCAGUAAGUUUAAGCCACGCCCUCCUCGUCUGAUUGGUUUAAUCCAUCCAGUCCAAAGAAACUGCUAUGACCUUUGACCUCUAACAGUAAAGGGCUAUUUCACCAGGGAGGGUGUUUCUCCCCUCAGUCUGGUCUCAGGAUAACUCCUCCCUCUGUGGUGUUUAAGGGAAAAAUUCUGUUUAGUGACUUGAAUUAACUUUAAAAAAUGUUUAAUUUAAUUACAUCUUUGUACGAUUAAUGAAAUAUGAAUCCAGAAAUGUUCACUAGUCUUCCUGUUCGUACAUUUCUAUUUUUAUAAAGAUAUCUAUAUUUGUAUGUCCAAUCUGAAUGUGAAGGAACGACCUCCUAAACUUUAUUUCAUUAUCGUCAAGCUCCAAGACUAACAGCGUUUGUAAUGUAGAUUUCAGAAUAAAAGCUUUGAUACGCUUUGAUUUUGAAA